UUCAGAAUAAGACAAGAAUAGACAGGCAAGAUAGAAAAGAUGAAGUCUUUUUUAGCAGUAUUCAUUUUGGUUGAAGUAGCGGCUUUCAAAUACCCACAAGAACGCGAAAGAUUCACUGGAUAGGAAAAUGACUUAGUACAAAGUGAUGCUUUCAAAUACCCACAAGAACGCAAAAGAUUCACUGGAUACGAAAAUGACUUAUUCAAAAGCGAUGGUGCAGGAGAUUUUAUGCCUAGGCACGAUCCUGUUUUUUGGAAAAAAGUUAUAUCAGCAGCGCACAGAGCGUACAAACUACGUCAAUUAAAAUUAGCAGUGAGAAAUCUUAAUAACGCAAUAAAAAAUUCGAAAGUCAUCAACAGUGGAAAAGAAGGAUUCACUAUCAGACAAAGUAACUUAACUUACAAAGAAGCUGAAAAUUUAUUUAACAGCGCAGCCAAAAAUAUCACUCAGCGAGGAAACAAAGUGAAGGUUGGUAAAACGAACGAUGGCAGAACUUUGACACUACGAACGCAAGGUAAUAAUGGUCCUACAUUGGAUGUCAAAGAUCUUAACGGUCAUGUAACAAAACUUCGGCUGAUGCAGUAAUACAUCACCCAUAUCCUAAACUACUGCACAACAAGAAAUAUUGUUUUCUAUCUGUGUACAACAUCAAGAUCACUUCUUUUUAGCUUUGAUUUGAUUCAUAAUGUUUUUACGUUGGCGGGUCUAGAUUAUUAUUUUUGCGAGUAUAUCACCUUAUUGCAUGGUCUGAAGUGUGAAUAGCAUUUGAAUUUGCAAAACAGAGAUGAUGAACUUUCUCUUUUAAAAAGAAACAUCAGAAAAUAUUCCAUGACUAUUAGAAAAAGGAUAAAUCAUUUAGUCCUAUAUUUAGCCUAGGCAAAAAUUCUCCACCUAUGAGACUUGGCAUCUAUAGAGUAACAUAUUUUUAUAUUUUUUUGCAUGUUUUUUUUGCUACUGAUAUUAUAUCAUCUGAAACAUUGAUCAAGAAUAACUGUAAUGGUUUCUUUUAUUUCUGUUAUGUUUGUGCACUGUUUGUGAAUUGAGAUGGAUGAAACCAGACGUGUAAAUUAAAAAAAACUUAACACUACCUUCAAAUAAGUACUUACUGAAGUAGUCUACGAGUUUAAAAUUUACACACGCAUUUGUUUCUGCACAAUAAGACUAAACAUAACAUCUAAAAACGAAAGGGUGUAUGUGUUUUAGCUGUCAUUGAAAAUGCGUCUUAAAGAAAAUCAAAGCAAGCUCACUGAACUGUUGUUUCAACUAUACUACAAUAAUAUAGUUCUUAUCUAUUUAUAUUUCUUAACCAUACGCGCUCUCCAUGAAUUUCUUAAGGUACUUUUCAGUGCGCUUUAGAACUAGUGUAGCUCUUUGAUAUAAACGAUAAGUAUAUUUUGCUUAUCUGACGAUGAUAUAAAUUAUUCAAAAUUCAAAAU